AGUCAGUGUUUCGCCACUCAAAGCUUUUGCAGCUGGUCACUCCAGCCUCCUGGGACUUUGACUCGCCUGACCGCCGAGCUCCUGGCCAAGGGUGUCCGGGGAUGCCGCUCGGACGCUUUCUACGAGGAGCUUAACCCACCCUGCUGCCCGCCCGGAUGGGACCGCCGGAGUGCUCUAAAGUCUGCCGUGAAUAUUGAAUUGCUGAGGAAUUUGGGGAAAGACAAGCUGAAGUUCCCAUUCCAUGGAUCCCUUGGGUGCACCUUCCCAGUUUGUGGAUGUGGAUACACUACCAAGCUGGGGCGACUCGUGGGAAGAUGAAUUAGAUACUUCUGAUACUGCAGCUGAAACGUUUCAGGAAAACACUAUUAGAUCACCUUUUCUUUACAAUAAGAAUAUCAAUGGGAAAGUGGUUCUUUGGAAAGGAGAUGUAGCAUUACUGAACUGUACAGCCAUUGUGAAUACGAGCAAUGAAAAUCUUACAGAUAAGAACCCUGUGUCAGAGAGUAUCUUCAUGCUCGCAGGACCUGAUUUGAAGGAGGAUCUCCACAAACUUAAGGGUUGCCGGACAGGUGAAGCCAAAUUGACGAAAGGAUUUAAUCUAGCUGCCCGGUUCAUCAUCCACACAGUGGGACCUAAAUACAAGAGCCGCUACCGUACUGCUGCUGAGAGUUCCCUGUACAGCUGCUACAGAAACGUGCUUCAGCUGGCCAAAGAGCAAUCAAUGUCUUCUGUGGGAUUCUGUGUCAUCAAUUCUGCAAAACGAGGUUAUCCUUUAGAGGAUGCAACACACAUAGCACUUCGCACUGUAAGGAGAUUCCUAGAAAUUCAUGGGGAGACCAUUGAAAAAGUAGUAUUUGCUGUCUCUGAACUAGAAGAGGCUACUUACCAAAAGCUGCUACCUCUGUACUUCCCAAGGUCACUAAAGGAGGAAUGUCGAUCAUUGCCAUACCUACCUGCAGAUAUUGGAAAUGCAGAAGGGGAGCCUGUGGUACCUGAACGACAGAUUAGAAUAAGUGAAAAACCUGGUGCCCCGGAGGACAGCCAAGAAGAGGAGGCUGAAGGCUUGGGAGUUGACCUCUCUUUCAUCGGCUCUCAUGCUUUUGCUCGAAUGGAAGGAGAUAUUGACAAGCAAAGAAGACUGAUCCUUCAGGGACAGUUAUCAGAGGCAGCCUUGCAGAAGCAGCAUCAAAGAAAUUAUAAUCGCUGGUUAUGUCAAGCAAGAUCUGAGGAUCUAUCUGAUAUUGCUUCUCUAAAAGCCUUGUACCAAACAGGUGUUGAUAACUGUGGUCGCACUGUGAUGGUGGUAGUUGGAAGAAACAUUCCUGUCACAUUAAUAGACAUGGACAAGGCUCUCUUAUAUUUUAUCCAUGUAAUGGAUCACAUUGCUGUGAAGGAAUAUGUAUUAGUAUAUUUUCACACACUGACCAGCGAAUACAAUCACCUGGACUCUGACUUCCUGAAGAAACUCUAUGAUGUUGUUGAUGUCAAAUACAAGAGGAAUUUGAAGGCUGUUUAUUUUGUUCAUCCAACAUUUCGUUCAAAGGUAUCAACAUGGUUUUUUACCACCUUUUCUGUCUCAGGACUGAAGGACAAAAUCCACCAUGUGGACAGCCUCCACCAGCUAUUCUCUGCCAUAUCACCAGAACAGAUUGACUUUCCUCCUUUUGUCCUUGAAUAUGAUGCCAGGGAAAAUGGGCCUUACUAUCCAUCUUACCCCCCGUCACCAGAUUUGUGACCUGCCGUCUUUUAGUGCUACUGGUUUCCAAGGACGUCACUUUCUCCACGGAUCGCUACCUAUUGAAGUGAAAUUCAUUUUUGCUGUUCAGAUCCAGAGAGCCUUUUGUCCCCACCUCUCUGUUGCACUUGCUCAGCCAAGUUCCAGGGAGGACCAGAGUUCAAGAGUUAGCAGCAGAGGUUAUCAAUCAACUUAAAGUUUGGUAAGUGAAGCCCAGACAUGCUGCACAGUUGUUUUCUUUGUAGAGCACUUAGUACAAGACCAAAACUACGAGUUGCUAACAUUUCCUUGUUGAAUCCAUCCUGUUGCUAUGGAAAAUGCUGUCCUAGAAAAUUCAAUUUGGAGCCUCACAUAACUCCCAUGAAAAUUACACAGGAAGUGAGAAAAAGGCAAGGGUGCCAUUUUUUUUUAGUUCACAGUAGUGGAAUGCAUUGCACAGGGUAAGACCACUCUGCAUCUAGGAUUUUUCGUUUAUUUUUAUGUUUAUAAUUUAUUGUGACAUGUACCAAAAUCAAAUUGUAAUAUAAUACCACCCUAUAUUAUAUUUUUUGGAUAUAAAAGCUCUCAUGACUAUGCCUAUUUCUAUUCUAAUUUUGUGGAGUAUAUCCUUUUUUGGUAUGUUCAUCUUUUAAUUUUCUCUUUAUUUUUUUUAGCAGCUUUGUUUGAAAAGUAACUCACAUAUCAUAAAAUUCACCCAUUUAAAAGUGCAUAGUUCAGUGGUUUUUAGUAUGCUCGGUGUUGUACAGCUGUCACCACUAUUUACUUUUACAACAUUUUCAACACCCCAGAUGGAAGCCCCACACCCGUUAUCAGUCAUUCCCCAUUCCCACUGUCCUCCACCCUCCCUCCUGUGUUGUUUGGGCUUUACUGCAGUAUGUCCUCCUUCUAAGACACAUCUCCAAGUUGCACUUAUUAGGAGAACAGUGUAUCAAUAAAUAUUUGUUGAAUGAAUUGAUACCCACAUAAGUCACUAGCCAUGGGUAGCAACUGAAGAGUAAUUGGAAGGGCCGUGGAAUAGAUGUCAAAAGACUAGAUUCAAAUCCUGACUGAUGCUUACUUACUAGUCGUGUUGUUCUGGGAAUGGAGUCACUUAGCGCUUCGAAGGCUUAGUUUUCAUAUCUAUAAAAUGUUGCUAGCAAUAUCUGCUUCAUCGGAUGGUUGUGAGAAUCACCUGAGAAAAUAUGACCACAACACUUGGCACAGUACCUGGCCCACACUAAGAAAGGAAUUGCCAUUUGUUCCUGAAUGACAGAGAAACACCUGGGUUGGUGACCAGGUGAAACACCUGCGGCCACAUUUCUCUAAUGUCUAAUCUGGCAGCAAGUGUGUCCCCUGGUCACCAACCUCAGGGUUCAAAGUAGUGGCGUAGUCCUUUCCUAUGGCUCAAUCUUCCCAGUUUCCUUCCUCACAAAAGAGAAUUCUGGAGUAUAACUUACAACUGCUUAUUCUCUCUUAACCUCCCAACUGCUGCCUCCCCGUUUCCUGUCCAGCAUGAUACCUGCUUCCUCUGCACAUGCUGAUGUUGAUUCUCAUGUAGGGCCCACACUUUGUACAGAAGCAAGCACUGUCCAUCAGCUGUGAAGAACUGGCCCCUCAUCCCAACUUCAGCAGCCUUUAUUUGCACCUUUCCUUCACUGUGGGUCAGAAACCCUCUCCAGGAGAAAAAGCUGCCUAAUUUAGGCAACUGGCAGCCUCGGACUGCUUGCUGGGCCUUUCAGGGACAAGGGAACAUAUUUAACGAUCUUCUCUCAUAGCUGCCACCUCCCCCUACUUCCAGAGUUGCCUUAGAAGAUUUGCCACCCACUCAUCUUACAAAUAGUAAUGAAAUAGUAGGAGGUAUCAUUUCAGGACACCAGGCAUUGUAAAUAUAUUAUCUCUAAUUCUUACAGUAAACGUGCAAGCUAGGUAUUUUCCCCAUUUAAUGGAAGAAAAAGAAGAAUCUUGGAGAAGUAAAGAAACUAGCCACAAGGUAAUUUUAGGGAAUAGGUUUUGGAAAGGCAGAGAAGAUUGGGUAAAUCUACCUAUACAGAGUUUCUUACUUACUUACAUUAUAUGGCUUUAGUCUGGUAUAUAAAAGCAUAGCAUAGGCUUCGAUUCAAAUCCCAGCUCAGCCGUUUACUAGCUAUGUGACCUGGACAUGUUUCCCAACCUCUUUGAAUUUCAGCUCUCUCAUAUGUAAAGAGUACUUACCUUUUAGAAUUAUUGCGAGGACCAAAUGACUUCAUACUUCUGAAAGUCUCAAAAAUACUAGCUAUUGUCUUAUUUAAAUAUUCUAAUUGCUGUGAUCAAACUGUCUCACUUUCUGGACUUAUCAGUUACACUUGGCUCUUUAAAUUAUGCCACAUCCCCAAUUCAGAGGUUGUAUGAUGUAUUUGGUAUGUCUCUCCUUCAAGAGAAAAUACAUUUUAAAGCAGGGUUGGCAAACUUUUUUGGUAAAGGGCCAGAUCAUAAAUAUUUUAGGCUUUUCAGGCCAUACGGUUUCUGUCACAGCCAUUCAGCUCUGCUGCUGUAGCAUGAAAACAGCCACAGAUAGUACUUGAGCAAAUGGGCGGGCCUGUGUUCCAGUAAGACUUUAUUUAUGGAGACUGGAAUUUAAAGUUCAAAUGAUUUUUUCAAGUAUAACAAAACACUAUUUCCUUUGUUUUCAACCGUUUAAAACUAUAAAAAGCUACACUUAGCUUGAGGGCCGUAUAAAAAUAGGCAGUGGGCCAUAGUUUGCCAACCCCUGUUUUAAAUAAAUAAUUCAGUGGUUCUUUAAAGCUGUUGAAUCCAGCAGAGGCCUAGUUAAGGAAAGGAAUGUGGAGGAAGAAAAUCAAGAGCCAGUCAACCUAUCAACUAGCUAGCCCAGAGCAUAGCCGUGUUGAUCACUCCCUUGCCUAACCUGUGUGUAACCGCUUUACACUUAACAUUUUUACCUAUAAAAAUGAGGUGCUGAUAGCUGUCUGACCUCUACCUACUUCCUCCUGGUGACAGGAGUUCAAAUAUUAUUUAUUGAAUUUAUGCCUUUGUGCUAGAUAGUUGAAUCAUUUUUAUUCUUACCCUCUUAUUCCUACUUCACAGAUGAAGAAAUGGAGGCUCAGAGAGGCAGAUUACCUGCUUAUACAAUACCAGUAUCUAAACCCUGGUAUCUGAUUCCCAUAAACCCUCCCAGCCCUCUCAAUAGAAUACAGACUCCUUAAGAAUAGGGACCUCACUGGAUUCGUUCUGUGCUAUAUCCCCAGUGCCUAGACUAGUAACUGGUAUAUAAGAGGCAGUGCGUAAAUGUUUGUGGAAUGAAUGAAUGGAUGAAUGAAUGUUUCCAUUAUGCCAGCGUUUCUUAAUCUUUUCAUAGGUAGGGACGCCUCUGAGAAACAAUUUAACGGUCUGGACCAUCUCUCCAGAUAAAUCUCAAAUUAAGACACCUUAUGUUAAGUAUUUGGCAAACUAUUGAAAGAAGAUGCUAUUCACAUACUCUGAACAAUAUAACUCUUCUCAUAAGCAUGGAAACAGGAUUUGGAGAUGUCUUAUUUCUCUCCUUUUCCUUAAAUCAUGAUAUUAAGGACACUAAACAAGACCUAAAAUGUUUUCUUCUCUAUAGGCACUCAUAGCUCCCAGACAUACUUCUUAAAACUCUUGAUUCCCUUACAAGUCACUUUCUCAAAAAUUACUUAAAAAUGACUUUUAUUGGACCCAAGUGCUUCAAUAUGAAAAGUAAGAAACCACAGCCUAUUAGGACUAACAUGCAAUUUUUUGUCUUCAGAAAUACAGUUGCAAGGGAAAUACCCACUUUUCACCGCCUAGAGGCCAACCAAAUCUGAAACUCAUAUGUUACUCGGGAUGGAUGGGCCUUCUGGCUGCUUCUACUUCUUGUCAUUUACUGAGGACCUUACAUUCCAUACCAUGGUCUCUCGUUAAGACAGUGAGAGAGGGUUAUUAUGAGAGAGACAUUAAAUUCAGAUGUUACUAAUUUUUAUUUUCCCCUCUAAAGCAUCUGUUGUUUACAUACCCUCAUCCUUUACAUCAGGACCUUGAGAUCAUGACUCACUUCAGGUAAACAGUAAGAAUAAGGGUAUUUUGUUUUCACAGAAUGCUGUAAAAACAAAGGCUGUUGCUUAUGGAGACUUAAAAAAAUAUUCAGGUACUUCAUUCACUUGCUACUCCCUUUUCACUCUCUUUACUGCAUCUCCCCCCCACCCCCCCACCCCCCGCCAAAGAAGUUCCAUUCUAAAACAAGUAUUCUCUCAUGUUUCUGGGACAAGGCACUCCAUUCACACUUUGGCCAUGUUGUGCCAUUUAAGUUUUCCCAUGGCACUUAUUCCCAGGGCUGAUAUUCAGCCACACCAAUUGUUAAAGGUACUGAAAUACUUCCAUACAAGAUGAGGAACAGCUGCUAUCCUGAGCCUUCCAAAUGCCCUUUACUAUCCCCACCCUUCCCCCAGUUUCCCUGGUUCUCCACACAAUCUAAAGGGUCAAUGCCACCUACCUUUCCAGAACCCUGCUCCAAGCCUACGGCCAGCACUCUUCUGAUUGGUCCAUGCCCGUGCCACACCACUUUAAAUACCACAUUGUUGACGUAUCCGUAUAUGCAUGUAUGAAUAACUAGGGACAUGGACCUUUCUGUUUCAUUCAUUACAGUAUUCUUAAUGUCUCCUUGAACAGCUCCUGACAUGCACAAGACUUUUAAAUAAUAGCUAAAACAAAAAAUAUAGUGUGUUUAUGCUUAUGGUGUCAAAGAAGUAAGAGCUGAAGCAAGAGAACCACUUGAUCAGUCGGGAUUGGGGAACUACUUGAUAAGUCGUAUGAGCAGGAAAGACAUAGGAGUUAAGAGGAUCCCUAUAUAAUAACUUUUUUAUGGACAUCCAGAUGAUCUUUGGUUAGCAGUCUUGCUUCACAACAUUAACACUUAAUAUAUUAUUUGCUUUUUCCAGGAAGGUUGAAUAUAAGUGAGGAUUGGAUUUCAGGUCCCAAAUUGCCUCAUUGAAGACCAAAUAUGAGACCAGGAGGUAGAAACUAAUCUUAGACUAAGCCAACAAGGUGUGGAAGCCUGUGGGAAGGCUCUGAGGUGACGAGGUAAUGCUGCUGAGGAAGUUUUGUGCAGUCUUCUGUGAUGGAAGAGAUGGAGUCACCCAUAGAACGAGCCUGAAAGCCUAAGUGGCCAGAGCUGUUCCUGUUUCCUGACAGCUGCCCUCCCCCCGCGCACAGACACACAGUGGGCACUGGUGGAUGCUUACUACCUACCCACUGAGCUAGUCUCAGGCAAAGCUCCACUACGCAAACCUGGGCACCGUUGUCAGAAUGCCUCUCUUGUCAGGCUAGGAGACAGACACACGCAUUUCACAUCACCUCAGCAGAGUCCAAAAAAUUCAAGUGUGGUGCAUUAUUAAGAAUUCCCUAACACUUCCUACCUUUCCUUAAUAGCUUACCUGUGAAUGUCCCUGAACUUCUGAAGCUAUUCCAAGCCUAUGCCAUCUGUUACUUUUUAUUUUUACUCUGUGAGAUAUACUCUUCCAUUUGUUCCAAAUUUGUCUUUUUUCAGUGUUCAAGGGAUACCUGCUAAACCUAGCAUUUUAUAAUUUGGUGAUUAUUUAGUACCACACUCCUCUCCUUAAUGUCUCCUCUCUUUAUGUAAUCAUCCCCAGAUGAAAGUAGUUCUUCAGUAGGCCCCGCGUGCUUGGGGGGACUGCCAGGCACCCAGAUGCUAACUGUAAACUGCCUCUUGGGUUCAUUACUCUUCCCCAUCACACCAAAGAGGUUCUGUGUUUUCUUCCUCAUGACAGCAAAAUAAUUGAGGUGGAACAAGGUGCCUUCUCGUUUCAGCUCUCAUGCUGUAAACAAGUUUCCCGUUUCUGGUUCAUUUGGUGCCAUGUGUUUUGCAUUUUUGUUCUUUGUUGAUUCCUCUGUUUAAGAUGGUUCCUGGUGUAGCGCUAAAGUGCUAUCUAGUAUUCCCAAAAGCAAGAAGGCUGCGAUGUUCCUUAUGGAAGAAAUAAAUGGGCUAGAUAAGCUUCAUUCAGGCAUGAGUUGUACAGUGCCGUUGGCCAUGAGUGCAGUGUUAGUGAGUCAACCAUAUAAGGGACCUUUAAACAGGAACAUACGGAAAACAAAGUUGUGGAUUGAUUGGCUGAUGAAAAUGUUUUGGCCCAGAGGUUCAAAGAACCUCAUAUUGUAUUUCUCCCUGGAACAGUGUUUCAGGAUUCAUUGACUUAGUGUUCCCAGCAACUUUACAGAACGUAACUACCACAAAUAGAAUAAGAAUCAAUUGCAGUUGUGAGCAACUGAACCUACACUACUGCAUUUGUCCUACUAAAGAGUUAAUAGGCACAAGUUUACUGCUUCCUCAGAAAACACCUGUUAAGCAGCUACCCCGCACUGGGCUGUGGGAAUACAGUCUUGCACAAGAGGGUCAUAGUCCUUAACUUCAUGCAUCUUAUAGCCUGGUAGGGACAUUAAAUUUUAAAAUGUUCUUACAAGCGUGCAGGACAGGUGUGAAUCUGAUAUUAAUGACCAAUUCUAUCACAACAGGGGAUGGACAAAAUCCUUAGCCAGAAGGGACUAGGCAAAUGUCUGUUCUAUCAGUUCUUGCCCACCUAUUCUGUCAGUCCUCCUAUGUGCACUAAAAUGUAAUCAGCUACCUGAAAGUUCCUCUUCACUCAGUCGGGAUCCUGGGAGAAUCUUGAUAGGGAACAAAUUAAUAGGUCUUUCCCCACUCAUAAGAGAGGUCUGGAAAGAGCCUUAGUCCAAGUGCUGCAAAAAGGUUAUGUUUGGGAUACUACCUGAUCACAGCUGCAGCUGCUUACAUCACUGUAAUGAGAAUGACCAUGGCGUCCUCCUGGGCUGAGCAGGGAAAAGUGCUGGAAUCUCAUAAUCACAGCUGCUGUGCUUUGUAUUUGCCUAACCCACCACGGCUGCCCUAUAUGUGAUACUUGAAUGUCUGGAAGCACAUAGAAUCAUUGAUCCACUUACUGCAUGGUGAUAAAUAUAUAGACUUUCUACUUAAUCAGGGCUAGACUGAGAUUCUAAACUCUUUGCUGUGCACUGUUUUCCAUAUGAUUCUCAGAAUCUUCCUUGUCCAAAAUGUCCUGUGUCUCACUCCGCAAUCUUUAAAUACUAACAUCUGCCCUUUGAGCUUGUUUUGGGACCACACUGAGCACAAGCCCAUCCUCAGAAAGGGAGCCACCAACUCUCCACCUAAAUUUGUGAUGACUCAGUCCCUGCUAACCCUUCCCUCUUCCAGCAGAAUGUCAUCAAGAGGCUAAUACAUGAUUUAUGAGAGCCUCAUGCUCAUCUAGAUCCUUUCUCAUCAUGGCGGCUGUCUGUAUCAUCCAUCCUCUUGUCGUGAUCCAGGAUGAUGUGGGACCCCCUCCAGUCUGCUAGAGACUGAUGACCUUUGGUUAUAGCAACUAAUCUCAGAGGUUAUUUGUCACUGUGAGCAGUUGCUCUAAGUUCAAGCUUUAAAAUGUAGAAUCUUCAAAAAAAAAAAAGAAUCUUCAGCAGCUAUAUUUCUAUUGCUGCAGCCAUUUCUCUACCUAUAUGCUACUUGGGAAAUCCUUGUAGUAAUCAGAUUGACCAGUGUUAGCCAGUUGUGCAAAUAGGGCUUUGGAUGUCGCCUGCUACAUAAUAUUUUCUUUGCAUUUCUGCAAUAACAAGAGUUUUAUUAAGCCCUAGGUGGGUUUUGUUGAAAGACAAAAAACUUCCCAUCUAGACUGUACACUCGAGGAGGGCACAGUAUGUGGUAUCUGUUUUGAGCACCACAGUAUUCACCAUCCUGAGCACAAUACCUGUGCCAAAUGUGUAUUUUUUGUUUCACUGACUAAUUAGGCUAAGUGCCAUCUUGGAUUCUCACAUUAAUUGGAAGCUCUGCCUUUUAUAGUUAACUUCUGGACAUGACAUUAUAAACAUGUACUCCUUAACUACACUACAUUUUAAAAAAUAGCCUACUUACUGCUGGGGUAUGGGCACUAUUUAACUGUCUCACACCCAUUUUUAUGUUUCUUGUUCGUUUUUGUUAUUUUUUACUUUAUACUAUAAUAUCAUGAAAAGCAAGUAGGCCUGUAUCUACAGAGACAUGCAUUACAGCUGGAGAAGGGAAGAAGAAGAGGAGGCAGGACAAUCAGUCUUUUCUUGUUUCCAUAUCUAAAUAGCUGAAUGACGUUUGGUAUCAAAUGAGUUACUUGCAAAGAAGAUAUAAAAGAUGUAUGUAUUUUUAUCAAAAAUGCAUGCUUUGGCAAAUGAGAGAGUGUCUGUCCCAGUUUAGAAAGAAAGGCCUGAUAGUGUGCUAUGAUUUAAGGUUUGAAGAUUCUUUUUCUUCUUGUUUUCCUUGUUUAUACCACUUCACUUCGUAGAGUGUUGCAGAAAGAACAUAGGCUCUAGGAUUAGAAAAACUGGGUUUGAACCUUGGCUUCUCAGUUUUCUUACCCAUCUGGCUAUCUCUGGGCCUUAUGCUUGUCUUUUUUUUUUUUUUUUAAGAUUUUAUUUAUUUAUUCGAGAGAGAGAGAGCGCACACACACACGCGCACGACCCUGGGAGCAGGGGCAAAGGGAGAGGGAAAGAAUCUCAAGCCAACUCCACACUGAGCGCAAGCCCAACGCGAGGCUCCAUCUCACAACCCUGAGAUCAUGACCAGAGCCGAAACCAAGAGUCAGAGGCUUGACCACCUGAGCCACUGAGGCCCCCCUGGGCCUUAUGCUUGUGUUAUAGUUAUGCUGCAUCACCUCAAAAUGUAGCUGAAGGUAAAUUAUGAACUAGAAAGCGCAAUAUCUGACUAGAAAUAAUAUCAUCGUCACAUCCUUUAUAUAUCAAGAUUAACCCCCUGACUCUGGAUGUUGUAAGAAUUUGCCAGAAUUACAUCUUUUAAGAAAGGCUUCUGCUCACCCAAAUGUAAUAUAAUAAACGCAAGGACUUUGCCAAGGCAAAUUCCUGAAAAGAACAUGGUGCAACAGAAGCAGUUCACAGAGUCCUGUGAGUUUUGGUCAAUGAUUACAUCCUGUUGCAGUGUUAGCAAGGGUUGGCAACCAACCUGGAGAUAGAGAAAAGAAGUGACGAAAAUGUCAAGAUUCCUCAAGCAGAUAUGUCACGGAAUGAAUAAGAGUAGACUAGGACAUUGUGUUCGGCGAUAAAGGCCAGGAGGUUUGGCCAUCUCCGUACCAAAUUAUUAGUGUUAUUUGAAGACUCUCACUUUGCUGUGAAGUGUUGAAAACAAACCACAUUCCAGCAGAGCGUUGUUAGUCCUGACCUUUAUUCUGGAUGACCUAUGGACAGAAACAGCAUACUGUACUUUCUUGUCUUAUAUUUUAACACUUUGUGUUUUUCGAAUAAACAUUUAGGACACAUGGUAUGACAGUUGCAAGUGAGCAUUUGAGGAGACGAACUUUAUUUGAAUUUGCAGCUAUUCCAGAGAGAUUACAUGGUAAUCGUGUCCUUGUUUGGUUAUGGUUCUUGUAAGGUGUGACCUUACAGAGCUUUUCCAGAGAGAAUCAGAUCUGAGAGUAUGUUGAGCUAAACUGAAUUUUGCAACAUGCCUAAGAACACUCCUAAGGGCACUCCUGAGUUGAAUUUUUAACUUUCUUCACAUCAGGUGUGAGGAAGGCACACAGGAAUAGAAAAUGCACGUUCUCCAUGUUUUGCACAGGAAAUUUGCUUAACAGAAAUCUCGUGAGUCCAGCCCACUACGUGGUUCCCAAAGCACUUUCUCCCACUGGUGAGCCAAGAGGCUCUGCCCGCUUCUCUCAACCUCUUAUCAGAGAAACUGAUACUCUGACCCAAUUAUCAGGCUUUGACCUUUGGCACAUUUGUCCUGUUGUCCUUACAUGUAUAAGCACACUUGAAAAAUGGGCUAGGUAAGAAAGAAAAGAAAAAUUGGUAUCAAUGAACCAGCCAAAGGAAAAGGGGGAAAGGAACUACCAAGAAAUUGAAGGAGGCAGAUGGAAAUGGAUAACGUGGUAGGUGGGGGGAAGAGUUUUCCUGAAAAACAUGCUGUAUCAGAGGAUGACUAUGACCACCUCAAAGAAAGAAUUCUGAUAGAACUUCUCUCUUU